rnacentral:rRNA from 1 species
UACGAAGGGGGCUAGCGUUGUUCGGAAUCACUGGGCGUAAAGCGCACGUAGGCGGAUUUUUAAGUCAGGGGUGAAAUCCCGGGGCUCAACCCUGGAACUGCCUUUGAUACUGGAAGUCUUGAGGCCGAGAGAGGUGAGUGGAACUCCGAGUGUAGAGGUGAAAUUCGUAGAUAUUCGGAAGAACACCAGUGGCGAAGGCGGCUCACUGGCUCGGUACUGACGCUGAGGUGCGAAAGCGUGGGGAGCAAACAGG